rnacentral:ncRNA from 1 species
UCCUUUAAAUAGGACGACGUGUAUAAACUAUACGCUCCCCCUUACAGUUAUGUGAGAGGGAGCUUUUUU